GGAGUUUGGACCGUGUCUCAGUUCCAAUGUGGGGGACCUUCCUCUCAGAACCCCUACUGAUCGUCGGCUAGGUGGGCCGUUACCCCGCCUACUACCUAAUCAGACGCAUCCCCAUCCAUAAGCGAUAAAUCUUUAUUCCAUCUUAGAUGUCUACGACGGAAACCAUAGGGCAUUAAUCUUACUUUCGCAAGGCUAUUCCCUACUUAUGGGCAGGUUGGAUACGCGAUACUCACCCGUCCGCCACUAGAUGAUAUGCUAAUUGUUCCGAAGAACUCAAAGCAUAUAUCCCGUUCGACUUGCAUGUGUUAGGCACGCCGCCAGCGUUCGUCCUCGAGCCAUGAUCAAACUACU
rnacentral:rRNA from 1 species